rnacentral:lncRNA from 1 species
GCCAAAUCUUGGGAGCUCAGGAGGGUUCUGUUUUCCAAAAACUAAUAGCAUAUUGAUGAUAUUUACCUGAAACGCACUUCACUAUUGCGUGGCUUCAGUAGCUGUCAGAAAGAGACACUGGGAAUACCCAAGGAAACACAGACUUGAACAGACUGAGAAUGGUCUAGAACUGAGAACGACUGAGAGCAAGCACUGCAAGCUCAUUGGGGGCCCCAAUAACUGACAAUAUUCCUCCAAAGACUCAUUCUUUGAGUAUGAGUUGUCUGCUGUCAUACUAAAACACAGAAAAAAACAAGCG